rnacentral:rRNA from 1 species
UACGUAGGGUGCGAGCGUUGUCCGGAAUUAUUGGGCGUAAAGGGCUCGUAGGCGGUUUGUCGCGUCGGGAGUGAAAACCCAGGGCUUAACCCUGGGCUGGCUUUCGAUACGGGCAGACUAGAGGUAUGCAGGGGAGACUGGAAUUCCUGGUGUAGCGGUGAAAUGCGCAGAUAUCAGGAGGAACACCGGUGGCGAAGGCGGGUCUCUGGGCCGAUACUGACGCUGAGGAGCGAAAGCGUGGGGAGCGAACAGG